ensembl:lncRNA
AUCUUACUGGAGAUCCCUGUAUACCUGUAGCCUUCAAAAGAUACAUGCAAAUAUUUAAUGGAUCUUGUAUCUACAUUGGGAUAGUUUAUCACUGAAUAUCAGAGAGUAGAAGACUUGGGUUCACCUACAGAGAGAGACCGCAUGCUUAGGCACUACUGUGGACCUCCUUGAGACUCCUUUUCCCCAGAAAAUAGCUAACUUCAAAGCUGAUGGAGUGGUCAUGGAUGAAGCAAACCAGUGAAAUGAUGAGUGCUAGGAAAUUGUACACCUUCAAGAUCAGGGAGGGCUCUACGCCAUGGUGACCAGCAAUUCUACCUGUGUAACUGGACAGAGGAGGCUUUUGAAAUUCAGACUAUUACCAGCCUUUGCAGGAGAGGCUAAUGGAGUACAAGAGACCUUCUCCUGUGUUUUGCAUUCGAAAAUCUUGCAGUUGGUCUUAGGGGAGUCCAGGGACUGUGGUGUUAUCUCUAUUGCACAAGGGAGCAGGUCCCCAGCGAGAGGCUGAGCCACCAAUCAACCAAACUUGCAGACUGGGCUGAGUUUGCAGUAGGUGAAGGCUUCCUUCAAUACCAACUGCUGCUUGGGAUGUCAAAGUAGGGCAGCAGCUAGGAAUCUGUGUGGUACCUGUUACAUAACGUGGUUGCUUAAUAGAUUAGAAAUCUUAUAAUCAAAUAUAUCUCACCAUGGGAAGAUGUUAUUACUCUUCUCUGUUUCAGAGAAAAUUGACAAGAACUUUGCAGCUGUGGAUAAAUAUUUCUACAAUGUUUUCAACGCAAUCCUUUUAUAUGUAAGUGUAUCUCUCUUGUGAAUUUUACUAAACACGUAUUUUUAAGGAAGGAAACAUGCAACAGCAGAUGCAUUGAGUAUAAUUCUGCAAAUUACCAAGAUAUGAGUGCUGCUGUUGACUGUGAGCAUAGAGCAGUGAGCUAAGGUAGAGAACAACAAUAUUUGACAUAGCUGGUCACAGCUGACAUUUCUGUUCUUGAUCCAGUGAAUCAUCUGAAUCCUGUAAGAGCAUUCAUCAUGGAAAUAGUCUGAGACAGAGAAAUAAAGUGAGCUCUCUUAUAGAAUCUAUUCUUGACCCAACUGGCGAUGUUAAGAAAGGGCUCUGAUAGCUACAUAUAUUCUGUUCACUCAUAAAUAAUAGGGGGGCACCAUUUACUGGUUGUAGUCCUUGUGGUUACAGUGGGACUGUCACUGUUUUAUUAGUUACUUUUGCACUUUCUGAUGUUCCUGUAGAACAACAUUCUGUUUCAGGAGAUGUGCCUGUCAAGAAAGCAGGAGAGGGUGGAUGGCAUGAUGAGUGCCUUCCAACACUUUGUUUAUGUCUCUGCGGGGUGGAAGUAUUUUGUUAACUCUGUGCUCACAAUGUGGAUCAGUCACUGCUGCCAACAUAAAUAUUUUCAAAUAUUUCACUGAGAACUGCUGCAGAGCUACAGGAGAUUUUCUGCCUAUAUGACUGAGAUUGUGUCUCCUUUGAUUUCAACUUGAUUUAAUUUUGUAGAAGAGGCAAACACAAGAUGAGUAAUAGUGCAGCCCUCCAACUUGCAUUAUUGAUACUUCCAAAGUGUCCAGUUCAAAUGGGGGCAGAAUGUUAACAGAACUGAGAGUAUCAGUCUAGUGGCUGAAGGACAAAAAUAAUCUGCCUUUUUGAUCUUUGCUGGUCAACAAAAGCAUGCUUUGCUUGCUCCAGAAGUCUUUCAUGUGAGAGAAAAUGGACAGAGAUGAAAACCCAUGUCUGAUCUGAUGCUUUGGCAAGCUGUGUUUUCUUACACCCACAGGAGAUGAAGAGUUCAGGCCUUUCAGAAUAAUGGACUAAGGUAAAAGAGAAUUCCCUUCUGUCAUGUAGAAAGUCACUGAUAAAGUUUAUUCUGUGUAUAACAUGCUAUGGAUGCAGCGUUAUCAUUCUUAAGUACCUACUUUCUGCUGAAAUGAAAUGGUCAGGAAAUUGGAGGCUCCAGG